GAGAGCCGAGACAGCGCAAAAAUGUCACUGCCUGGCAGGGAGACAUUUGGGGCAAAUGCUGAGGCGAUUAGAUCUGUGUCACUGGGUGCUGCCCAGCUCCCCGUGCUGCUGCUUUUUGCUGCUCUCAAAGCCAUUUAGAGGUGGCUUGGCAGAGGAGGUUAUCUUGUACAUGCUGCUGUCCAGAAACUGCCAGUGUUUGAAGAUUUCCCAGAGCGGUUUCCCCGGGGAAGGUCUCUGCUGGAAGUGGUUGGGGUUUGGCAGUUUGUAACAGCCAGCAGGACCCUUGGAAACCAAACGAGCAGCCUCCAUCAUGGCAGUACUGAGACAGCCAAAACAAAGGUCUGGAUCCAACCCUAGAGGAACAUUGUUUCUCAAACUGAGGACGCAGCAGGCGGCUGAGAUGGAGAACAGGGGGCUGCAGGGGUUUGUUCAGAUGAGAAGAUGCUCAGAUUUGGCUGUCCUGGUCUGGCCAUCACCAGAGAACUGGGCCACCUUCAGGAGCAUGAAGAUGAC